AACGAACGCUGGCGGCAUGCCUAACACAUGCAAGUCGAACGAGACCUUCGGGUCUAGUAGCGCACGGGUGCGUAACGCGUGGGAACCUGCCCUUAGGUUCGGAAUAACUCCCCGAAAGGGGUGCUAAUACCGGAUAAUGUCUUCGGCCCAAAGAUUUAUCGCCUUUGGAUGGGCCCGCGUUGGAUUAGCUAGUUGGUAGGGUAAAAGCCUACCAAGGCGACGAUCCAUAGCUGGUCUGAGAGGAUGAUCAGCCACACUGGGACUGAGACACGGCCCAGACUCCUACGGGAGGCAGCAGUGGGGAAUAUUGGACAAUGGGCGAAAGCCUGAUCCAGCAAUGCCGCGUGAGUGAUGAAGGCCUUAGGGUUGUAAAGCUCUUUUACCCGGGAUGAUAAUGACAGUACCGGGAGAAUAAGCGCCGGCUAACUCCGUG
rnacentral:rRNA from 1 species